CUAUGCGCCUUGCCAGCCCGCUCAGGUGUGCCAGCCGCCGCGGUAAGACAGAGGGGGCAAGCGUUGCUCGGAAUCACUGGGCGUAAAGGGCGCGUAGGCGGGACGCCAAGUCGGUCGUGAAAUCUCCGGGCUCAACCCGGAGGAGUCGGCCGAAACUGGUGUUCUUGAGGGAGGCAGAGGAGUCUGGAAUUCCCGGUGUAGCGGUGAAAUGUGUAGAGAUCGGGAGGAACACCGGUGGCGAAGGCGGGACUCUGGGCCUACCCUGACGCUGAGGCGCGAAGGCGUGGGGAGCAAACGGG
rnacentral:rRNA from 1 species